UUUGAAUAAAAACUCCACUGAAAGCGGAAAACACAGUAGUUUUCAAAGGUAAGCUAAUCAAAAAGCUUCGUACAAGCGAGCUCGAAAACGAUAAUGGCGAA